rnacentral:rRNA from 1 species
AGGGUUUGAUCAUGGCUCAGAACGUACGCUGGCGGCACGCCUAACACAUGCAAGUCGAACGAAGUAGCAAUACUUAGUGGCAGACGGGUGAGUAACAUGUAGGUAUCUGCCCUUUGGCCUGGAAUAACACGAGGAAACUUGUGCUAAUACCGGAUAAGUCUUUACGGAGAAAGCUUUAUGCACCAUUGGAUGAGCCUGCACUUGAUUAGUUUGUUGGUGGGGUAAUGGCCUACCAAGACUGUGAUCAAUAGCUGAUUUGAGAGGAUGAUCAGCCACAUUGGGACUGAGACACGGCCCAAACUCCUACGGGAGGCAGCAGUGGGGAAUCUUGCACAAUGGAGGAAACUCUGAUGCAGCGAUGCCGCGUGAGUGAAGAAGGCCUUUGGGUUGUAAAGCUCUUUCGUCGGGGAAGAAAAUGACUGUACCCGAAUAAGAAGGUCCGGCUAACUUCGUGCCAGCAGCCGCGGUAAUACGAAGGGACCUAGCGUAGUUCGGAAUUACUGGGCUUAAAGAGUUCGUAGGUGGUUGAAAAAGUUAGUGGUGAAAUCCCAGAGCUUAACUCUGGAACUGCCAUUAAAACUUUUCAGCUAGAGUAUGAUAGAGGAAAGCAGAAUUUCUAGUGUAGAGGUGAAAUUCGUAGAUAUUAGAAAGAAUACCAAUUGCGAAGGCAGCUUUCUGGAUCAUUACUGACACUGAGGAACGAAAGCAUGGGUAGCGAAGAGGAUUAGAUACCCUCGUAGUCCAUGCCGUAAACGAUGUGUGUUAGACGUUGGAAAUUUAUUUUCAGUGUCGCAGCGAAAGCGAUAAACACACCGCCUGGGGAGUACGACCGCAAGGUUAAAACUCAAAUGAAUUGACGGGGACCCGCACAAGUAGUGGAGCAUGUGGUUUAAUUCGAAGAUACGCGCAGAACCUUACCAACACUUGACAUGUUCGUCGCGACUCUAAGAGAUUAGAGUUUUCGGUUCGGCCGGACGAAACACAGGUGCUGCAUGGCUGUCGUCAGCUCGUGUCGUGAGAUGUUGGGUUAAGUCCCGCAACGAGCGCAACCCUCACUUUUAGUUGCCAUCAUUAAGUUGGGCACUCUGAAAGAACUGCCAGUGAUAAGCUGGAGGAAGGUGGGGAUGACGUCAAGUCCUCAUGGCCCUUACGUGUUGGGCUACACACGUGCUACAAUGGUAUCUACAACAGGAAGCAAGACUGCGAAGUCAAGCAAAUCCUUAAAAGAUACCUCAGUUCGGAUUGCACUCUGCAACUCGAGUGCAUGAAGCUGGAAUUACUAGUAAUCGUGGAUCAGCGUGCCACGGUGAAUGCGUUCCCGGGUCUUGUACACACCGCCCGUCACACCAUGGGAGUUGGUUCUACCUUAAGGCAAGGUUUAAAACCCUUGACCACGGUAUAGUCAGCGACUGGGGUGAAGUCAUAACAAGGUAGCCGUA